rnacentral:rRNA from 1 species
AUACGAAGGGGGCUAGCGUUGUUCGGAAUUACUGGGCGUAAAGCGCGCGUAGGCGGACUGAUCAGUUGGGGGUGAAAUCCCAGGGCUUAACCCUGGAACUGCCUCCAAUACUGUCAGUCUUGAGUUCGGGAGAGGUGAGUGGAAUUCCUAGUGUAGAGGUGAAAUUCGUAGAUAUUAGGAAGAACACCAGUGGCGAAGGCGGCUCACUGGCCCGAUACUGACGCUGAGGCGCGAAAGCGUGGGGAGCAAACAGGGUUAGAAACCCCAGUAGUCC